rnacentral:rRNA from 1 species
GUAGUCCACGCCCUAAACGAUGUCAACUAGUUGUUGGGGAUAGCUAUCCUUAGUAACGAAGCUAACGCAUGAAGUUGACCGCCUGGGGAGUACGGUCGCAAGAUUAAAACUCAAAGGAAUUGACGGGGACCCGCACAAGCGGUGGAUGAUGUGGAUUAAUUCGAUGCAACGCGAAAAACCUUACCUACCCUUGACAUGGACGGAAGUUGGCUGAGAAGCUAAUGUGCUUGAAAGAGAACCGUCGCACAGGUGCUGCAUGGCUGUCGUCAGCUCGUGUCGUGAGAUGUUGGGUUAAGUCCCGCAACGAGCGCAACCCUUGUCCUUAGUUGCUACGCAAGGGCACUCUAAGGAGACUGCCGGUGACAAACCGGA